rnacentral:rRNA from 1 species
CGCGGGCCUAUCAGCUUGUUGGGUGGGGUAACGGCCUACCAAGGCGACGACGGGUAGCUGGUCUGAGAGGACGGCCAGCCACACUGGGACUGAGACACGGCCCAGACUCCUACGGGAGGCAGCAGUGGGGGAUCUUGCGCAAUGGGCGAAAGCCUGACGCAGCGACGCCGCGUGGGGGAUGAAGGCCCUCGGGUCGUAAACCCCUUUCGGCAGGGACGAAGCGAAAGUGACGGUACCUGCAGAAGAAGCUCCGGCUAACUACGUGCCAGCAGCCGCGGUAAGACGUAGGGAGCGAGCGUUGUCCGGAUUCAUUGGGCGUAAAGCGCGCGUAGGCGGCCACGCAAGUCGGUUGUGAAGUCCCGGGGCUCAACCCCGGGACUGCGUCCGAUACUGCGUGGCUCGAGGCAGGUAGGGGAGAUCGGAAUUCCUGGUGUAGCGGUGAAAUGCGCAGAUAUCAGGAGGAACACCGGUGGCGAAGGCGGAUCUCUGGGCCUGUCCUGACGCUGAGGCGCGAAAGCUAGGGGAGCGAACAGGAUUAGAUACCCUGGUAGUCCUAGCCGUAAACGUUGGGCGCUAGGUGUGGGCGGAGAUCGACCCCGUCCGUGCCGAAGCUAACGCAUUAAGCGCCCCGCCUGGGGAGUACGG